rnacentral:rRNA from 1 species
GAGGAACGAGGGAGGAGUGCCUAAUACAUGCAAGUCGAGCGAACAGAUGAGGGGCUUGCUCCUCUGACGUUAGCGGCGGACGGGUGAGUAACACGUGGAUAACCUACCUAUAAGACUGGGAUAACUUCGGGAAACCGGAGCUAAUACCGGAUAAUAUAUUGAACCGCAUGGUUCAAUAGUGAAAGACGGUUUUGCUGUCACUUAUAGAUGGAUCCGCGCCGCAUUAGCUAGUUGGUAAGGUAACGGCUUACCAAGGCAACGAUGCGUAGCCGACCUGAGAGGGUGAUCGGCCACACUGGAACUGAGACACGGUCCAGACUCCUACGGGAGGCAGCAGUAGGGAAUCUUCCGCAAUGGGCGAAAGCCUGACGGAGCAACGCCGCGUGAGUGAUGAAGGUCUUCGGAUCGUAAAACUCUGUUAUUAGGGAAGAACAAAUGUGUAAGUAACUAUGCACGUCUUGACGGUACCUAAUCAGAAAGCCACGGCUAACUACGUG